GAUGAACGCUGGCGGCGUGCUUAACACAUGCAAGUCGAACGAUGAAGCCCAGCUUGCUGGGUGGAUUAGUGGCGAACGGGUGAAUAACACGUGAGUAACCUGCCCUUGACUCUGGGAUAAGCCCGGGAAACUGGGUCUAAUACCGGAUAGGAGCGCCUGUCGCAUGACGGGUGUUGGAAAGAUUUUUCGGUCAUGGAUGGACUCGCGGCCUAUCAGCUUGUUGGUGAGGUAAUGGCUCACCAAGGCGACGACGGGUAGCCGGCCUGAGAGGGUGACCGGCCACACUGGGACUGAGACACGGCCCAGACUCCUACGGGAGGCAGCAGUGGGGAAUAUUGCACAAUGGGCGGAAGCCUGAUGCAGCGACGCCGCGUGAGGGAUGACGGCCUUCGGGUUGUAAACCUCUUUCAGUAGGGAAGAAGCGAAAGUGACGGUACCUGCAGAAGAAGCACCGGCUAACUACGUG
rnacentral:rRNA from 1 species